UACCAGCUCUCCGAGUGGUGUGGAUGUUUAUUGGGCCUAAAGCAUCCGUAGCUGGCUGGACAAGUCCCCUGUUAAAUCCACCGAUUUAAUCGUUGGUGUGCGGGGGAUACUGUUCGGCUAGGGGACGGGAGAGGCCGACGGUAUUUCCGGGGUAGGGGUGAAAUCCUAUAAUCCCGGGAAGACCACCGGUGGCGAAGGCUGUCGGCUAGAACGCGCCCGACGGUGAGGGAUGAAAGCUGGGGGAGCGAACCGGAUUAGAUACCCGGGUAGUCCCAGCUGUAAACGAUGCAGGCUAGGUGUUUGGGCGGCCACGUGCCGCUCUAGUGCCGCAAGGAAGCUGUUAAGCCUGCCGCCUGGGGAGUACGGCCGCAAGGCUGAAACUUAAAGGAAUUGGCGGGGGAGCACCACAAGGGGUGAAGCUUGCGGUUU
rnacentral:rRNA from 1 species